CACCUCCAGCACCAUAAUUCAAAAGCAUCAAUUCUUUGGCAAUCAGCCUUCUGUAUGGACCAGCUCUCACUUCCAUACAUCACUACUGGGAAAAGCAUAGCUUCCCCGAAGAAUUGAUGCUUUUGAAUUAUGGUGCUGGAGGUG